rnacentral:rRNA from 1 species
UACGGGGGGGGCAAGCGUUGUUCGGAAUUACUGGGCGUAAAGGGCUCGUAGGCGGCCAACUAAGUCAUACGUGAAAUCCCUCGGCUUAACCGGGGAACUGCGUCUGAUACUGGAUGGCUUGAGAUUGGGAGAGGGAUGCGGAAUUCCAAGGUGUAGCGGUGAAAUGCGUAGAUAUCUGGAGGAACACCGGUGGCGAAGGCGGCAUCCUGGACCAACACUGACGCUGAGGAGCGAAAGCCAGGGGAGCAAACGGG